UGAUCCAAAAAGAUGGAUUUCGAGGAUGCCUAGCUGGAGCCCAACCCAGAGUUAUUUGUCGAGUUCCAACCCAUUAUUGGAUGACGCCGGUGGCUUCUUGACCCGAUGUAGCGAACGCUCUGUAAAGCCAGAACUCCACUCGCGUUCUUUCAUCCCUUCCCUCGCUCACUUUUCUGCGAGAUAUCGAGAACCCAUCUUCUCGUUCUAUUUUUUCUGAAACUUGCUCAGCUCCCGAUGACAUCCUAUUAUGCUGCCCCAAGUAGACGACGCUGCAUUAUCACAGGUCACUUGCUAUGUGGAAACAACCUGUUCAUCUCAAAAUCUUAGUGGGAGAGAGAUCUUGGAAGGAAUGAAAGCGAUAUAAUUCCAUGUUGGCCCUUGGACAUGCAAACAUAUGCAGGUAUGACCAUUAUCUCAGUCAUUGUUUGAGGCCCUAAGCUUGGUAGGCCGGGCCUCAACCCAUACUUAGUUCAGAUUAUAUAGGUAUGGUAUGUUAAUCUAUGAGCAUAUCUAGCCAUCUUGGGCAUUUGCUUUGGGCUAAAAGUCUGAUAAAAUAGAUAAACUACCAUAUGGAACUGG